AAGAUACUCCCUCUGUCCCAAAAUUCUUGUCUUAGAUUUGUCUAGAUAAGACAAGAAUUUUGGGACGGAGGGAGUAUAUA
rnacentral:pre_miRNA from 1 species